GGGAAAAAGAGUUCUAGAGAAAGAGAGAUCAAGAGAAAGGAAGGGAGAAAGAAGGAACUUUGAGCCAAAUCUUCUCUAAUUAAUUAUCUAAGGUUAAGACUUGAAGACCGCACAACUGGUUUUGGAAGCCCACUGUGAGUAACAUUUCUGUAAAGAUAUGUUGAUAUAAAUUAUGUUUUAACUGUUAUUGAUAAGCUAUGUUUUCUCGAAGUGCUAUCUUGAUUAUGUGAACGAAUAUCCUAUUUACGAAUCUAAUAUUGCAUCCACGGAUAGUCCCAAGUCAUGGGGGACGACACAUUAGUGCGGGUCCAUGACAUAUAUGUGAUACGAGAUCUCGUUAGCCACCUUAUUAUGGUGAUAUUUGUUAAUCGGUAGCUGGAACCGAUUACUCUAGUCGGAAGACGAUAUGGGUUAUAUCUUGUGAGAUGUACCAUUACGUUAUAUUCUGAUAUGAGACUGAUAUGAUUGAUUAUGAUAUGAUUUGUUUUACGGAUAUUGUAUUUGGAAUUCGUUCACUAACCCCUUUACGUUAAUGUUAUUCACUGGGCUUUAGCUCACUGUUUUUAUAUAUAUGUAUAAGUGAGCGUUUUGGGAGUCAAGCCUAGACGGAGUCUUGAACCGAGCCACCGUUUUGAAGCCUACCAAGUGUUUUGGGUGUUUCCGAGCUGGGGCUAGGCCUGGAAGGCCGUUAGCAAGCUUUGUUUUUGUUAUACACAUGCUUUGUAUAAAAUAUUUUGUUAUAUGUUAUGUAAUGUAAGUGGGUAAAUUAACAUUUUUGCAUAUACUUAUUUGUUCAUAUA